AAAAUGCAAACAGGCUCCCAUUAUCAGGCUGACGACUAACAGUGGACAAUACAUUGACCGUUGUCCUUGCCUGUGUGACUCGCAGAUGAGUUGGUGUGUGUGAGCUGGAGCAGGCCCUCCCAGUACUUCAAAGAAAACGCAGAAUUGCUCAACAGCCUAACAGCUAAGAGAAAAAUGCAUCAAAAACGGAGCAGCUGUCCUUAAGCUUGCAUUAGAGUUCACCGGAACUGUGCAGACAGAGUCUGGAAUAAUGUUAUCUCUAUCAGAUCCAUUCCCACAUCUCCUGCAAGUGAAAUGACUUAGGCCACAACAUGUUAAAUGUUUGAGGAUGAGGAAGACCAGGACAGAAAUAAGGCUGCAAAAAUGGAAAUCACUGUUAUGACAUUUCACUUUGAAUUGAGCCGUUUGAUGCAAGUUGCUAGAUUGAAGCUUUAAUUGGAUUCAUCGCUAUUUGGUCUGCUCGAAGAAAUGAGAAGAACCCCCAUCUGAAACCAGCAAAGCCGUUGACAGGAAAUUGAAAUGAAAUGUGUAUAAAUGAAAAUUAACAGAUUAACUGCGGAGUUAGUGAGAAAUCGAAUCACAUCAAAAGAAGUGGCACGCCAGAGAUUACAUUAGGGGACACUCAGCAUGAUGCAUUCAUUGCUGUUACCACACUCAGAGAAAAUAUGGGAUAUUUAAUCUUCUAUCAAAGCCUCUGCAGGACAGCAGUAUACUUCCUGGCUCUACCUCCACUGCACCUGCUCCAUCAACAUUGCUUAAUCAGAAUCAUAAACACAGGAGAUUCUGCAGACGUUGGAAAUCCAGAGCAACACACACAAAAACGCUGGAGGAACUCAGCAGGGUAUCCUUGCUCUCACUCUCUGGCACUGCGAAACUCUCCCUAAUUAAAGUUUAAAAAAAGGAGGCUGUGAACUGAAAUAGAAAUGGAAAAUGCUGGAAACACUCAACAGGAUAAUGACCAAAAACACUUGGCCAAGGUCAUAAAGAACCAUCUUCAGUGAAAAGAAUAACAAAGAGUUCUGCAACAGAUGCUAUGGCCUCCACAGAGCCCUGAUCUCAACAUCUGUGAGGCUGUCUGGGAUUAUUUGGAGAGACAGACACAAGCACGACAGCCACAGUCUACAGAAGAACUGUGGCAAGUUCUCCAAGAUUCUUGGAACAACCUAGCAGUUGAUUUUCUUAUAAACUG